AGAACUGUCAAAUUUUAAUCAGAACAAGAGACUGUUGCAGUGGCUAGUUCAUAGUUUCUCACGUAUCCUGCUAGAGCUGCAUGAGUCUGUUACGUGAUUGAGUUUUUUGACAAUUGUAAGAAGAUAGGUGAAGGCUUAUAUGGAGAAGUGUUUUUCUGUCAGUAUAAUUGUACCUCUGGCAGGGUGCUUAAAAUUAUCCCCAUUGAAGGUCAUAUCUUGGUGAAUGGGGAGAAACAAAAAAAGUAUGAUGAAGUCCUUUCAGAAUUUGUUAUUGCUAUGGAAUUGAGUAAUUUACGUCAUGAUGCACAGUUCAAAACUAGCUGCUUUGUGGAGGUUGCUCGUUGUGUGUGUGUUAAAGGAAAAUAUCCACAGAGGCUUAUUGAUCUCUGGAAUGAAUAUCACGAGGAAAAAGUGUCUGAAAAUGAUUCACCAACUAUCUUUGAUGACAGCCAACUCUUUCUCAUAUUUGAAUUGGUUGAUGGUGGCAAAGCAUUGGAAAAUUACUGUUUUACAUCAGCUGCCCAAGCAUUUUCAGCCUUUGUUC